rnacentral:rRNA from 1 species
GUGAGUAGAGUGGCGGACGGGUGAGUAACGCGUGGGAAUCUGCCCAGUAGUGGGGGACAACUACCGGAAACGGUAGCUAAUACCGCAUACGCCCUAUGGGGGAAAGGCUUCGGCCGCUAUUGGAUGAGCCCGCGUCAGAUUAGCUAGUUGGUAGGGUAAAGGCCUACCAAGGCAACGAUCUGUAGCUGGUCUGAGAGGACGAACAGCCACACUGGGACUGAGACACGGCCCAGACUCCUACGGGAGGCAGCAGUGGGGAAUAUUGGACAAUGGGCGAAAGCCUGAUCCAGCAAUGCCGCGUGUGUGAAGAAGGCCUGCGGGUUGUAAAGCACUUUCAGUUGGGAAGAUGAUGACGUUACCAACAGAAGAAGCACCGGCUAAAUCCGUGCCAGCAGCCGCGGUAACACGGAUGGUGCGAGCGUUAAUCGGAAUUACUGGGCGUAAAGCGCGCGUAGGCGGCUAAGUCAGUCAGAAGUGAAAGCCCCGGGCUCAACCUGGGAAUUGCUUUUGAUACUGCUUGGCUAGAGUUUGGUAGAGGAUAGUGGAAUUCCAGGUGUAGCGGUGAAAUGCGUAGAUAUCUGGAGGAACAUCAGUGGCGAAGGCGACUGUCUGGACCAAAACUGACGCUGAGGUGCGAAAGCGUGGGUAGCAAACAGGAUUAGAUACCCUGGUAG